rnacentral:misc_RNA from 1 species
UGUAACUCUUCAGUUUUCAUUCAUAAGACUUUAUUUACAAACAUUUUUUUCUGGAAGAUUUUGAAUGAAUAUGUAGUGCGUAUUUUUCUGCAUUUACUCCGCUGUUGAAAACAAGAUUGAUAAAUCUAUAUGAACAGACUUAUCUCUAUAAUUAACAAAAAAGGUAUUAUUGUGGCAUUUUCAACGACAGCAUUUUUCUUUCUUUUAUAACAUUGUUUAUUUUGAUAUCUUUCAUAAAUAUUGUCCGGUAUUACCGACACCUUGCGUGGAUAAAAGACGAACAAUCCAAUGUGGUUAUCAAGUGUAAUUUAAGAUUUUAGGUCUUUAAUAUUUCGAUGUGUUAUAAACAACUAUCCCAUGUAAGAACAAAUAUGAUCAAGGCCACUAUCUUUGUGUUGCUCCUGGCAAUUAUUUUCUAUUAUUCUUUGCGAAAAUUGAUACACGAAAGCUUCCUUCAAGAUGGUAAAUCACCAGGAAAUAUUUACAUAAAUCAAAAAAAUAUUCUUCAUGAAAUCAAACUGUACACUGGUCCAGAAAAUACCAAAGCAAUUUCUGAAGAACCCUUAGUUGAUUCCAAGUUUGACGUGCAACCUAUAAUGGAAGGAUCGAAGAAAAACAAACAUUUUUUGCAUCAGAAGAACUCUAUUCAUUUAUCUCUCGUUGUAUGUGGGGAUCGCCUUGAGGAAUCUGUUGUAUUAUUAAAAUCUGCUGUUUUGCUGACAGACCAACCCCUUGUUUUCCAUUUGUUUGUGGAAGACCAUCUCCAGAAGAAUUUUCAGGAUCAACUUGACUUCUGGCCUGAUUCGUUCCGUAAUAAAAUUUUCUACCGAAUAUUUGCAAUUCAAUAUCCAUCUGACCAAAACCAAGAAGAAUGGUGGAAAUUAUUCAAGCCAUGUGCAUCACAACGUCUGUUUAUUCCGCAUAUCUUAAUAGAUGUUGAUUCCUUACUUUACGUUGAUACAGAUGUUCUGUUCUUGAGUCCAGUCACUGCUAUAUGGGAAAUCUUCAGCAAAUUUUCUGAAUCCCACACAACAGGACUAGCACCAGAGCAUGAAGAUGCUGGUACUGGGUGGUACAACAGAUUUGCUCAACAUCCAUUUUUUAAACCUUUAGGUGUCAACUCAGGUGUUAUGUUGAUGAAUUUAACAAGAAUCAGAUGUACAAAAUGGCAAUCGUUAAUCAUAGAAUAUUACAAGACUUACAGAUAUAAAAUUGUUUAUGGAGACCAAGACCUAGUGAAUAUCUAUUUUCAUUUCAAUGCAGAUGAAUUAUAUAUAUUUGACUGUCACUGGAAUUAUCGCCCAGACCACUGUAUGUAUAUGAGUGUAUGUAAAUCAGCAGAAAAAGAAGGAGCUGCUAUUAUACAUGGUUGUCGAAGAGUCAUGCACAAUGAUCAGCAGCCAGCAUUUAGAUCAGUUUAUCGCACAUUUAAAAAACACAGAUUUGGAGCUGAUCUCCAACAUGAGUUACUGCCAAAUUUAAAAAGAGAACUCAGCACUGUCGCAUCAACAAAUUGCGGGAAAGUUGCAUACAUUUUUGUCAAAAGACUACAGGGAGAGGUGCUGAAAAUACUUCAAUGAAAAGACAAAGAAACCAUAUUCUGUUAUUCUUUUAGUAGUUUCCAUAAUUUGACUGCAGCCAAGUUUUGUAUUUGAUCAAAUCAAUCUCAGUACUAUUUUAUGAAAAGUUUAAGUUGCCAUAAAUAUACAUGAACAUAGGCACACACAAAUACAUAUAUUUAUAUAUAUCUUAUUAUCAUCAAUCGUCAUCUAAUAGUCUACCACCUUCUCUCUCUCUCUUCCUUUACUCUCUUCUCUUUCACUGUCUUACUCUCACCACAACACUUCUAUCACUUCACUAAAAUUCUCUUAUGUCUUUUUCAACUGGAGAUGAGGCAAUUCUCUGAUGCAAGGGAACAGAGAAAGACAAUAUGUGAAGAGGUACCAAAAAGUAACCAGAAACUGCAACAUCUGCAUAAAAAACAUCUCUUGUAUUAGAAAAUAUCUGGAGAGAUGUUGUAACCAAGAUUUCAUGUUACCAUCAAAGCCACAGAAUGGAAUUUUGGAAAUUUGAGAACUAAAGAGGCUGUCCUUAAUUAAAGGUUGUUCCAGUCAUAGAUAAGAAUUGUGCAGUGAUAAUUAUCUGAACCUACCAAUCUGUCCAUGUCACAUCACCCUCAUUUCCCCAUAUGUCUGUGCAGAUUAGAGCUAUGCUUAGUCUCCAUUUUGUUUUCAUAAGGGCUUUUAAGCUAAAAUAUUGUAAUAUAAGGUAAAAGUGUAAAUAUUUUUCACUCCUGUAUUUUUAACAUACAUUAUUGUAGCUUUUAAAAUCACUUUGAACUCUAUUUAAUAACCUUUUAAACAAAUAAACUCCCUAAUAUUAAUGUAUAUUUUAAUAGGAAUUAAAAAAAUAUAAUCAA